rnacentral:rRNA from 1 species
UUAAGCGACUAAGCGUACACGGUGGAUGCCCUGGCAGUCAGAGGCGAUGAAGGACGUGCUAAUCUGCGAAAAGCGUCGGUAAGGUGAUAUGAACCGUUAUAACCGGCGAUGUCCGAAUGGGGAAACCCAGUGCAAUUCGUUGCACUAUCGUUAACUGAAUACAUAGGUUAACGAGGCGAACCGGGGGAACUGAAACAUCUAAGUACCCCGAGGAAAAGAAAUCAACCGAGAUUCCCCCAGUAGCGGCGAGCGAACGGGGAGCAGCCCAGAGUCUGAAUCAGCUUGUGUGUUAGUGGAACGGUCUGGAAAGUCCGACGGUACAGGGUGAUAGUCCCGUACACCAAAAUGCACAGGUUGUGAACUCGAAGAGUAGGGCGGGACACGUGGUAUCCUGUCUGAAUAUGGGGGGACCAUCCUCCAAGGCUAAAUACUCCUGACUGACCGAUAGUGAACCAGUACCGUGAGGGAAAGGCGAAAAGAACCCCGGCGAGGGGAGUGAAAAAGAACCUGAAACCGUGUACGUACAAGCAGUGGGAGCACCUUCGGGUGUGACUGCGUACCUUUUGUAUAAUGGGUCAGCGACUUAUAUUCUGUAGCAAGGUUAACCGUAUAGGGGAGCCGCAGGGAAACCGAGUCUUAACUGGGCGUUAAGUUGCAGGGUAUAGACCCGAAACCCGGUGAUCUAGCCAUGGGCAGGUUGAAGGUUGGGUAACACUAACUGGAGGACCGAACCGACUAAUGUUGAAAAAUUAGCGGAUGACUUGUGGCUGGGGGUGAAAGGCCAAUCAAACCGGGAGAUAGCUGGUUCUCCCCGAAAGCUAUUUAGGUAGCGCCUCGUGAAUUCAUCUUCGGGGGUAGAGCACUGUUUCGGCUAGGGGGUCAUCCCGACUUACCAACCCGAUGCAAACUACGAAUACCGAAGAAUGUUAUCACGGGAGACACACGGCGGGUGCUAACGUCCGUCGUGAAGAGGGAAACAACCCAGACCGCCAGCUAAGGUCCCAAAGUCAUGGUUAAGUGGGAAACGAUGUGGGAAGGCACAGACAGCCAGGAUGUUGGCUUAGAAGCAGCCAUCAUUUAAAGAAAGCGUAAUAGCUCACUGGUCGAGUCGGCCUGCGCGGAAGAUGUAACGGGGCUAAACCAUGCACCGAAGCUGCGGCAGCGACACUAUGUGUUGUUGGGUAGGGGAGCGUUCUGUAAGCCUGCGAAGGUGUGCUGUGAGGCAUGCUGGAGGUAUCAGAAGUGCGAAUGCUGACAUAAGUAACGAUAAAGCGGGUGAAAAGCCCGCUCGCCGGAAGACCAAGGGUUCCUGUCCAACGUUAAUCGGGGCAGGGUGAGUCGACCCCUAAGGCGAGGCCGAAAGGCGUAGUCGAUGGGAAACAGGUUAAUAUUCCUGUACUUGGUGUUACUGCGAAGGGGGACGGAGAAGGCUAUGUUAGCCGGGCGACGGUUGUCCCGGUUUAAGCAUGUAGGCUGGUUGUCCAGGCAAAUCCGGAUAAUCAAGGCUGAGGUGUGAUGACGAGGCACUACGGUGCUGAAGUAACAAAUGCCCUGCUUCCAGGAAAAGCCUCUAAGCAUCAGGUAACAUUAAAUCGUACCCCAAACCGACACAGGUGGUCAGGUAGAGAAUACCAAGGCGCUUGAGAGAACUCGGGUGAAGGAACUAGGCAAAAUGGUGCCGUAACUUCGGGAGAAGGCACGCUGGUGUGUAGGUGAAGUCCCUGCGGAUGGAGCUGAGACCAGUCGAAGAUACCAGCUGGCUGCAACUGUUUAUUAAAAACACAGCACUGUGCAAACACGAAAGUGGACGUAUACGGUGUGACGCCUGCCCGGUGCCGGAAGGUUAAUUGAUGGGGUUAUCCGUAAGGAGAAGCUCUUGAUCGAAGCCCCGGUAAACGGCGGCCGUAACUAUAACGGUCCUAAGGUAGCGAAAUUCCUUGUCGGGUAAGUUCCGACCUGCACGAAUGGCGUAAUGAUGGCCAGGCUGUCUCCACCCGAGACUCAGUGAAAUUGAACUCGCUGUGAAGAUGCAGUGUACCCGCGGCAAGACGGAAAGACCCCGUGAACCUUUACUAUAGCUUGACACUGAACAUUGAGCCUUGAUGUGUAGGAUAGGUGGGAGGCUUUGAAGCGUGGACGCCAGUCUGCGUGGAGCCAACCUUGAAAUACCACCCUUUAAUGUUUGAUGUUCUAACGUUGGCCCCUUACCGGGGUUGCGGACAGUGUCUGGUGGGUAGUUUGACUGGGGCGGUCUCCUCCCAAAGCGUAACGGAGGAGCACGAAGGUUAGCUAAUCCUGGUCGGACAUCAGGAGGUUAGUGCAAUGGCAUAAGCUAGCUUGACUGCGAGCGUGACGGCGCGAGCAGGUGCGAAAGCAGGUCAUAGUGAUCCGGUGGUUCUGAAUGGAAGGGCCAUCGCUCAACGGAUAAAAGGUACUCCGGGGAUAACAGGCUGAUACCGCCCAAGAGUUCAUAUCGACGGCGGUGUUUGGCACCUCGAUGUCGGCUCAUCACAUCCUGGGGCUGAAGUAGGUCCCAAGGGUAUGGCUGUUCGCCAUUUAAAGUGGUACGCGAGCUGGGUUUAGAACGUCGUGAGACAGUUCGGUCCCUAUCUGCCGUGGGCGCUGGAGAAUUGAGGGGGGCUGCUCCUAGUACGAGAGGACCGGAGUGGACGCAUCACUGGUGUUCGGGUUGUCAUGCCAAUGGCACUGCCCGGUAGCUAAAUGCGGAAGAGAUAAGUGCUGAAAGCAUCUAAGCACGAAACUUGCCCCGAGAUGAGUUCUCCCUGAGACUUUAAGUCUCCUGAAGGAACGUUGAAGACGACGACGUUGAUAGGCCGGGUGUGUAAGCGCAGCGAUGCGUUGAGCUAACCGGUACUAAUGAACCGUGAGGCUUAACCUU